UGCGUCAGCAGCACAUGCAGUAUACUAAAACUGGGACGAAAAGAGAAGAUUAGCAUGGCUCUGCGUAUGUUUACACAAGUUUAUGUGGCCUCCUAUAUUUUU
rnacentral:snRNA from 1 species